CAACGACUCUCGGGAACGGAUAUCUCGGCUCACGCAUCGAUGAAGAACGUAGCAAAAUGCGAUACUUGGUGUGAAUUGCAGAAUCCCGUGAACCAUCGAGUUUUUGAACGCAAGUUGCGCCCGAAGCCUUUUGGUCGAGGGCACGUCUGCCUGGGCGUCACAC
rnacentral:rRNA from 1 species